rnacentral:rRNA from 1 species
UACGAAGGGGGCUAGCGUUGCUCGGAAUCACUGGGCGUAAAGGGUGCGUAGGCGGGGCUUUAAGUCAGGGGGGAAAUCCUGGAGCUCAACUCCAGAACUGCCUUUGAUACUGAGGGGCUCGAGUCCGGGAGAGGUGAGUGGAACUGCGAGUGUAGAGGUGAAAUUCGUAGAUAUUCGCAAGAACACCAGUGGCGAAGGCGGCUCACUGGCCCGGUACUGACGCUGAGGUGCGAAAGCGUGGGGAGCAAACAGG